ensembl:lncRNA
CGCUAGCAUUCUGCUAAUGAACGUAUAACGUAUGACGUCAUUGACAUUUUAAAAGACUUUUUAAAGCAAAUAAGUGACUCUAAAAAAUCUAACACCCAGCAAUGUGUAAUUUCUUUGCAUCUCCUUUCGAAUACAACAUUCAAAUUACUAGACAAAAAAUUAUAUCCUGAGAAAAGUGGAUUUUGAGGGGUAUACCGCCAUUGACCUCCAUUCAUUCUGCACUCGUCCUGUGAGCGCCCUCAUAUGGAAUCAGAGUGGAACUGCAACCAGUUCAGAAGCCGGAAGUGUAGUAAGAGUGAAACUUCUCGCCAUAUUAGACAUUCUCUGACCCUACCCUAUCCCAGAAUAAACUGCGCACAGGUGAUGACGGAAUUAAUAUUCAAACAACACGGCGGGUGAGACAUCAGUGGCGUCGACAGAGGAAUUCACAUUUAAAUGUAAGAAUUAAUAUCCAGCAAGCCAAGUGUUAAAAGGGGGCAGCGAGCAGACAGCUCUGUUCAUCACAUUAAGGGGUCAGAACGACCAUUUAUUCACAGGGGCCAAAAACUCGGCCAGCGUGGCUUGGAGGACAAUUCUGGAGAAAAUGGGCCUGCUGAGGAAGGAUUGCAAGUCUCCUGGGAUGGGUGAGGGGGUGAGUGGAAAACCCACUGCUGAAACUUGGCCCUUAUUUGUCCUCAUGGAUGAGGUGUUAGGACACAGGCCCUCAAACAACCCCCCUGUCCUAAUUGCUCCAUUCCUGAGGAAACGGCAGGGCCAAGUUCAGCAGUGGGUGACGAAGCUGAGGAGGAGCCAGCACCAGGCAAGAAAAAACGGGGCCAUGAGUAUGAGCUGGUGGAGCUACUCCGAGAAGACACCAAGUUCCAGACGGAGACGGAGGAAAGAAGAGCCCAAGAGAACAGAGAGAGAAUGGACCGACUGUUUGGUCUUCUUAAGAGGAUGGCUAACAAAUAAAUUAACCAUUUUCUCAAGAAAAGAAAACCUAUUUUAAGUCAGUUUGCCAAUGAAAUAGUCUAAUUUCUGUUCAGUUUAUUUUUGUUAGUUAAAAAUGAAGAGUUAUAUGCAUUUAUUUUUGUAAUGUAAUUAAUUUAUUU